rnacentral:rRNA from 1 species
GACGAACGCUGGCGGCGCGCUUAACACAUGCAAGUCGAGCGAAGCGGCGGACGGGUGAGUAACACGUGAGUAACCUGCCUUAGAAAUUGGGAUAGCCUCGGGAAACCGGGAUUAAUACCAAAUGGUCUAAGAUGGACUCGCGUCACAUUAGCUAGUUGGUGGGUAACGGCCCACCAAGGCGACGAUGGGUAGCAGGCGUGAGAGGGUGAACGGCCACAGUUGAGCUGAGAAACGGUCCAAACUAUACGGGAGGCAGCAGUGGGGAAUAUUGAACAAUGGAGGGAACUAUGAUGCAGCGACGCCGCGUGAACGAAGAAGGUGUUCGAGUCGUAAAGUUCUUUUAUAUGGGAAGCGGUACCAUAAGAAAAAGCCCCGGCUAACUACGUGCCAGCAGCCGCGGUAAUAC